GACCGCUCCGUUGGCCUAGUGGUUAGAACGUCCGCCUCAUAUGCGUGAGGUCAUAUGUUCGAUCCCCGUUCGAGUCA